CGUUGAUAACACAAUUGCCAUGGUGGAGGUCUGUGGGCUACCACUGCUGUACAGCACAAACCCCUGCUCGGAGCCCAGCGUGCUGUCCCACCGGUCAGAGAGCUAUUUCCAUCCCAUCAGCUACCUCUGCCUCGAUCAAAUGAUGCCAAGUGCCUGUUCUGAUGCAGGUGGGUUACUCAGCUCCGUACAGGCAGGAGCUGCUACUGAGUACUGGAAGAAACCCUUACACUGCUACUGGGGACAUCCUGUGGUUUGGGAUGAUUUCAACCAGAAGUUUCUGACAGUGCCAAUACGCUGUGUGUGCUGCUCAGCCUGGUGUUACCCUGUUCAGCUUAAUUCCAGACCUGAGCCGAUUUGAGCCUUUCAGUGGCCAACCCCCCAGGCUGAGGUGUCCCAUGUCCAGGUGUUAUUUCAUGCAGGGAAAUUCUCUUUUUAAUGUUGGAGCUGGUUCUCCAAAGUGCUGAGUACUCACAGCUAUUGCAGGUAGUCGGGGCAGCGGGAGGUAUUCUUUCUUUGAAGGAUGUGGCUCUUCCUGCCCUUAAGAAGGCCUGGUGAGAUGAAUGACACUGCCUCUGUGCCAUGCCCGGCAGGAAGCCAGCCCCGUGUGCUGUGUGUGUACCCAUCAGCACUGCCAACAAGGAGCCAGUUCCCACUGUUCGUCAGCUGCCUCACCUGGGAAGAGAAAAGCUGUUCCUCUGCAAGGCACAGUCAAGAUAAUUAUCACAGUGAAAGAAGGUCAUAGUUUCCACACAGACUUUUAAAAGCCUCUACAAAAGAAGAGUUAAAUGUAGUGACAGGAAGAGCGCUGGUGUCAGGUGCGAGGGGGAAGGAAACAGCGAUAAUCGGCGUUACCGGAGCUGCAUCUUUCAGUUGAGCCUGCAGAGCACAGCAGAACAGCUGGAGAACAUGCACAAGGAUGGAGCAUGACAGUGUCAUUCACUCAGCAUCAGUAUUUUCUCCUGCUUACCUGUUGCUUUGACUCAGGAAAACUUCAACUGGCACAGAUUUACCCACGGAACAGGCCAUGAUACUGACACAGUAAGGACCUAAAUACUCUGCCACUAUCACCAUGGGUUUAAGACUAAAGACAACAAGUGAUACUGUAAGUUGAGGCAAGUUUUAUUUAGACUGUACAAACAGGGCACUGGAAAAAAAAACAGUGGCUUGAUGUUGGGACCAGUUCUAUGAAAUAAGUGGAGUAAGAAAUUAAAAGGCACUAAUCUUAAGAAAAGACACUCCAUAUAUUCUAAGAAUAUAAUUCAUUUAAUACUGUUAAUUUUAUAGCACAAAAAAUAAAACAAGCUAUGAUCCCCAAAAUAAAUUUUAAAAGCUUACACUUUAAUAUUAUUGCCUGAAGUUCAUGGUCUUUAAAUUACAUAUUGUGUUUUAAAGUUUACACAGUGAAGACUGUCUCGAAUACAAGGCCACCUUUCCCACUGCAAUAAUUGUAUCCUUGUCUCAAAAAACAUUUUCAUUUAACAGAACAGAAAAUGACAGCUAUACAAGAAUGCUUUCACUGGUCCCAAAAGGCAGUCUUUUAGGCAGGUCUCACUUUCAAAUGCAGGUAUUGAGAAAUAUGCUUGAAAACUUGACUAGAAAACAAAAGGCAGCCCACUCGUUCCCAGGAUGUUAAUAUAAUAUUAAAAAAUUACUUUACAGGCACAUGAAAUGGCACAAAGAAUGCUGUAUUUCCCUUUACAAAAAUAAUGCUCAGGCUCUUCAGAGCCCCAGCCCAGACAGGAUAUUCCCUUUUGUUUAUUCUUCCCAAUUUGUAAACAAUCAUGAAUUAAAUUAGCGCUUAUCCAGUGAUGGACACUGAUUAAAACAGUUUUCGUUUAAACUUUCAGACUGGUCAGAGGCUUCAAUGUCUAUAUACACACAUACACAACAGGAGGGAGUCAAACAGUAAGCCUUUCAUGAUAGUUAACUAGUGUGGCACCUGGUGAUUAAACCGGCUGCUAGUUCAAAAGCAUGAACGAUUUUAAUGGUGCAUAGAUCGAAGCCGUCACUUGCAGACUCUCAUGCUUCAUAGUACGAAUACCUGACGCCCCCCGGGAACAUCUACAUGGAUAGGUUAGCACUCGAAUUCAGGAGGCUUCAUAAAGCAACAGACAGCACACAUGUAAGCAAGCAACAAGCGAUUGAGAAUCAAAAGAGUCCUUCAAAGAAAAACACCAAAUGAUCAAAUGCAGUCUUUAUAUGAAAAUAUUCGUCUUAUAGUAAAAUGGCAAAGACACUUUGAAGCGAGUUUACAAUCAGCUUAGGCUGGUCAGUAUGCUACAUUUAAACCGCAUUGAACAUCACCGAUCUAUACCGCUGCUACUGUGAGAAAUACUGUUCGUCUGGGGCCCAAAACCAGGUUCACAGAAAUGUAUGAACUCUCAUCUUUGCAUCAGAUGCCACCGCAAACAAAUUUUGCAUAGUUUUGAAGGAAAACAGUUUGCUUUUCUGCAGUAUCAGAACAUAAUUGAACCUAAAACAAUGCUUGUGUUCAAAAUGUAUACCUUAUUCAAUGAGGAGAUGAGUCAAGACACUUAUUUUAGUGACAAAAUCCAGGUUAAAAGUUGUAUUCAAGAUCUCAAAUCUCACAGUAUUUAUUCAUGGACUUCAACAUGCAAAAGAAGAAUUCUACAACCAGUUUUCUGAAGAGCUACCUGCAGCUAGGUCAGGUCUGAAAUAAGCUUUCUCUGCAGCAGACUGAGUUUAGUGCAGUUUCUGUAUUCACAUGAUGACUCUCAGUAGUACAAUCUAUGUAGUAAACUUCAGGUGGAGUUGGGGCACAGAAGAAUCACAACCUCCUCUAGUUAAGAGAGCUGCAUAGCUUUUCUUUGCAAGACAACCUGUCAGCGCCUAUUGUCCAGAAAUUCUUUCAGCACCAAACACUUCAGUCAAUGCUACGCUACUUCACAGUUAAUUUGGUAGUAAAAUGCUCUACAAGAACUUCUAGACUGUCAGCCACUUGAUUAAUACUACAGAAAAUAACUAACAGAUGAACCGAGUUUCUUAAAAAGAAAACAACCACAGCAUUUUACAUCUCUUGUUGUAAAUGCCAUUUUCGCAUUUCUUCAGUGCCUUCCAUUUAAGGGUCUCACAGCACCUUCACAGGAGUGAGAAUAACGUUCUUUUACUAGGAAAAAGUGACACAAAUCAACAAGAAAACAUGCUGGAACUUAAGAUGACAACUUCCAUAUAAUUUAACACUUGUAAGAAGUGGUACAGUUCUGCAGGUGUCUGAAGUUUCUCAUUUUGCUACAACUGACAGCCUUCACAAGUUGAAAAAUGAAUGUAUUGUAGCACUGCUGUUUUCCUGUCAGAUAUUCCUGGCUUUCUGCAGCAGACACUUUUCUUUAUGCAGGCUGUCUGAAAAGGGAGGUUUCAUAGUUACAGUCUUUGCAGACAUGUUACUCUGUUAAUUUGGCGUUUUUUUAAAAAGAGCAUUCCAGUUCACCUAGAAAACACAUUUAAA